GAGUGAAAUAGAACCUGAAACCGUGUGCUUACAAGUAGUCAGAGCCCGUUAAUGGGUGAUGGCGUGCCUUUUGUAGAAUGAACCGGCGAGUUACGAUUUGAUGCAAGGUUAAGCAGUAAAUGUGGAGCCGUAGCGAAAGCGAGUCUGAAUAGGGCGUUUAGUAUUUGGUCGUAGACCCGAAACCAGGUGAUCUACCCUUGGUCAGGUUGAAGUUCAGGUAACACUGAAUGGAGGACCGAACCGACUUACGUUGAAAAGUGAGCGGAUGAACUGAGGGUAGCGGAGAAAUUCCAAUCGAACCUGGAGAUAGCUGGUUCUCUCCGAAAUAGCUUUAGGGCUAGCCUCAAGUGAUGAUUAUUGGAGGUAGAGCACUGUUUGGACGAGGGGCCCCUCUCGGGUUACCGAAUUCAGACAAACUCCGAAUGCCAAUUAAUUUAACUUGGGAGUCAGAACAUGGGUGAUAAGGUCCGUGUUCGAAAGGGAAACAGCCCAGACCACCAGCUAAGGUCCCAAAAUAUAUGUUAAGUGGAAAAGGAUGUGGCGUUGCCCAGACAACUAGGAUGUUGGCUUAGAAGCAGCCAUCAUUUAAAG
rnacentral:rRNA from 1 species